UGAACCAGCCAAGUCGCGUGAAGGAAGAAGGAUCUAUGGUUUGUAAACUUCUUUUAUAUGGGAAUAAAGUGAGGAACGUGUUCCUUUUUGUAUGUACCAUAUGAAUAAGCAUCGGCUAACUCCGUGCCAGCAGCCGCGGUAAUACGGAGGAUGCGAGCGUUAUCCGGAUUUAUUGGGUUUAAAGGGCGCGUAGGCGGGACGCCAAGUCAGCGGUAAAAGACUGCAGCUAAACUGUAGCACGCCGUUGAAACUGGCGACCUGGAGACGAGACGAGGGAGGCGGAACAAGUGAAGUAGCGGUGAAAUGCUUAGAUAUCACUUGGAACCCCGAUAGCGAAGGCAGCUUCCCAGGCUCGUUCUGACGCUGAUGCGCGAGAGCGUGGGUAGCGAACAGGAUUAGAUACCCUGGUAGUCCACGCCGUAAACGAUGCUCACUGGAUCUUGGCGAUACACUGCCAGGGUUCAAGCGAAAGUAUUAAGUGAGCCACCUGGGGAGUACGUCGGCAACGAUGAAACUCAAAGGAAUUGACGGGGGCCCGCACAAGCGGAGGAACAUGUGGUUUAAUUCGAUGAUACGCGAGGAACCUUACCCGGGUUUAAAUGUAGAUUGCAUGAGGUGGAAACACUUCUUCCCUUCGGGGCUAUUUACAAGGUGCUGCAUGGUUGUCGUCAGCUCGUGCCGUGAGGUGUCGGGUUAAGUCCCAUAACGAGCGCAACCCCUAUCGCCAGUUGCCAUCGGUUCAAGCCGGGCACUCUGUCGAGACUGCCACCGUAAGGUGCGAGGAAGGCGGGGAUGACGUCAAAUCAGCACGGCCCUUACACCCGGGGCGACACACGUGUUACAAUGGCCGGUACAGAGGGCAGCCACGGGGUGACCCGGAGCGAAUCUCUAAAGCCGGUCGUAGUUCGGACUGGAGUCUGCAACCCGACUCCACGAAGUUGGAUUCGCUAGUAAUCGCGCAUCAGCCAUGGCGCGGUGAAUACGUUCCCGGGCCUUGUACACACCGCCCGUCAAGCCAUGGGAG
rnacentral:rRNA from 1 species